AGUUACAGUGAGCUAUGACCAUGUCACUGGCAUGCCAGCCUGGGCAACAGAGCAAAACCCUGUCUCUAAAAAUUAACCAAGUAAAAGAUCAUGUGGGUAGCAGUGGGUGUAGUGAGAAGUAUCAGGCAAUUGAAGCACAGAGUGGUAAUCUAAGCUAGGAGAACACAGGUGGAAUAGGUUUGGUGAGAAGGAGGAGCACAGGUGGAAUGGUUCUGAGGAGACAAUCAGCAGUUUUGUUUGGGAUAUGUGAAGUUUUUGGUGUCUUGUAGACCUCCUGGUGGAGUAGCUGUGUAGCAGGGGCCCAUGUAAGCCUGGAGUUCAGGAGAAAGCCUGGGCUGGAGGUAUACGUUGGGAAGUUGCUGACAGGUAGGUUUAUUUAAAAAAUGAAGUCAAAUGAAAUCACCGAAGGAGUGAGGGUAGGGAGAAAGAUAACUAUAUAUUGAGCGUGGAGGCACUCUCACUUAAGAAGAUGGGGAGAACAAGAGGAACCUGCAAAGGGGAAUGAAAAGGAGCGGAAUCAGGUGUCUUGACAGCCAAAGGAGGACGUGGUUGCCUCUGACAGACGGUGCCGACAGACAGGCCAAGUAAGAAGGAAGAUGGCAGAUAGAAGGCAGGACUAACUUGAAGCUCCAGCUUGGACAAACGGAGCAGCAUGUGGAGACUCGCAUCAUUAACUUUUGCUCCAGAACUACUGCAGGAAUAUACCAGGAAUGCCGAGCGAAUCCAUAGACCCUCUGAAGGAAGUGGAUUGCUCCUGCAGCACCUGGGAGACAGCCCAAAUACUGUGAGUGCCCAAGCUGUGACAGUGGGAAAGGGGAAUUGUCAUGCGCGUCCGUGUGAAGAGACCACCGAACAGGC